rnacentral:rRNA from 1 species
GACGAACGCUGGCGGCGUGCUUAACACAUGCAAGUCGAACGGAAAGGCCUCUUUCUGGGGGUACUCGAGUGGCGAACGCGUGAGUAACACGUGAGUAACCUGCCCUUGACUUUGUGGUAACUUCAGGAAACUGUGGCUAAUACCGGAUAGGAGCUCCUGCGGCAUGUGGGGGGUUGUAAAGUUUCGGCGGUUUGGGGUGGAAUCGCGGAUUAUCAGCUUGUUGGUGGGGGAGUGGGUUACCAAGGCUUUGUCGGGUAGCCGGCCUGGGAGGGGGACCGGCCAAAAUGGGACUGAGAUAAGGCCCAGAAUCCUAAGGGAGGAAGGAGGGGGGAAUAUUGCAAAAUGGGUGGAAGCCUGGUGCAGCAAAGCCGUGUGCGGGAUGACGGGCCUCGGGUUGUAAACCGCUUUCGCUCAUGACGAAGCUGUGUGUGACGGUAGUGGGUAAAGAAGCACCGGCUAACUACGUG